GUUAACCACAGCAUUUGAAGCGAGUCUUGAGUCUGUUACGGUAACGUGAAGGCUAAGCGUAGACAGCAAGAUAGCAGGGAUAGCUAUGGAGCACCGAAAUCCCAAAGUAUCAGAGGGUCGACACCGUGGUCAGGGUGGAAGACAAUAUAUGCACUUAUCGUUAUGGUGAGAUUUUGCAUGCCUCUGCGGUGUUGUUGA
rnacentral:ncRNA from 1 species